CCAAAGGCUCUUUUAAGAGCCACCCAAUUGUUUCAAGGAAAGUAGCU
rfam:Cavia porcellus supercont2_38 genomic scaffold, whole genome shotgun sequence.